AAACUUGCAUUUUCCAGUAAGAAUAUUUAUAAUUAUGCCUGUCGCGAAAGCGAUGAUGAUUCUGAAUCCGUUGCGGAAUAAUCGUUUUGGACCCGGGGGCGGUACCCGGCAUCUCCACCAAGAAUACAUAUGGGGAUGAAUUAGGAUCGACAGGCGAAGUAAAGGCAAAUCGGUUGAAUCCGACAUGGUCGUCGUUAAAUACCAAAUAAAAACUGAAUGGCGAUAGAAUCGCUGCGAACGACAAUGUUCGCUUUGCAAUGGCUGCCUAAGAUGGCGUUGGAUUCGGUUGGCGAUUGUUGACCAAUCCGUUUUAGCAAUUGCGGGGUUCGUCGGGUACCUGGCACCAGAAACCCGACAUU
rnacentral:tmRNA from 1 species